CCCAGAACUGAUGAGGUCAACAAAAUUAAGGAAGCAUGUUGCUACCUUAUGUCAGCUUCUCGACCUGAACAAUCAGGAACUCGAGCAAGUUGCUCGUUUUAUGGGACACGACAUUAGAGUCCAUUGUGAGUUUUAUCGGCAGACCGAUAAAACUUUCCAAGUGGCCAAGAUUGCCAAACUACUGUUUGCGAUGGAACGUGGGACAGAGUCGCUGAAGGGAAAGAGUCUGCAAACCCUGGACUCUGUUAUCACUGGUAUGUAAAUUAAUAUAUUUUUAAAGUCAUCCCCUUCCAUUUAUUCUUUUCUCCCUCUGUCUUUGUUUCCACGACAGUGUGCAUGUCUUUAUCGGCAUAUUUUCUUUUACCUUCAUAUUUUAGUGUAAAAUUAUGUUUUCUGAUUUCUGACUGUGAAUAUUUCAAAAGGAAGAGCACAUGCAGCCACCUCAACCAAAGGUCUGAAAGGUGGCAAAAAGAGAAGACCAGAUCCAGGGAGACGACAGGAAGCUCAAGAUGAAUGAGAAGUGCCACACUCAGCUGUAGCAACGAGAUCUGAUGAUGAAGAUGAUGGAGGCGGUAACAGUACCAACUUGGACACUGAAAACACAGGCACCUACAAAAGGCCACCGAAGAUGCAGUCAAUUAAAGAAAGAAAUUAUGCUGAUGACGCUGAUGACGACAUGAGUGAUGUUUCUGGCAGUGAAUAUGGCGAUGGAGGGGUGUGCCAUAAGACAGUUAAGAAGACUGUCAAGAAAAAAAAGACAAUGUUGGGAAGACAUGGAUUGGUCUAUGACGCAUCUUUCACACAUGGCCAAGAACAACCAUCAACAUCAGGGAGCGCCACCAAACGAAAGAGGAUUGCAACACUUACACAUGACGACGAUGAUGUUGAAGACAGCGAUGAAGAGGACAAAAAGACUGGACACAGAUCUCUUGGGAAGAAGAAGACAGCAGUUUGAAAAGAACAUAGUGAAGUUGAAUUGGAAACUAAAAAAAGGAAGAGACCCGGACUCCAAAGGAAAGAGCAGCAAUUGAUCGACACCUUUCAAAAUUUGUAGCAUUAAAGAAAGUUCCAAGGAAAGAUGACUGCGUUAAGUGUCGUAGUCAAGCAUCGCCAGACCUUGAAGACCGCACAUGGAGAGAUAUUCCACAAUGAAAUUAUUAAAAGAUAUGUAAUUGGGAAAAAAGCUUGAAGAUGAAAGAUAGAGAGAGGGAGAGACAUAGGGGGGAGAUAGAUGAAGGGAGAGAGGGAAUGGGAUGAGAGAGAGGGGAGAAAAGGAAUAGAGUUUGAAAGCACAGUUAUUUGGUAGGGUAUAUGUGGGUUCAUGUGUCAGGUUGUGGCGCAGCAAGUUUUUUUAGUGUGCGUUUUGAAGGUUGAAGUUUUUCAGGUGUUCUUGUAAGUUUUGAAUAAGAGUACUUUUGUUUGUCAAAAAUAAAUCAUAAAGUCAAGUCAGCUUUUAUUGUCAAAUAUGCUCUCUGUGUAAUGUACAGCACAGAUUAAAAUACUUUCCUCUCUCAGCCACAGUGCAAACAUGUGGCGUAUUGAACACACAAAUAUCAGAACUAAAUAAAACUAAAUAAAUGACAGUACCCAUAAAUUAAUGGUGAUAAACUGUUUAAAAAUAAUAUAUCUGAUUAUAAAUUUACAUCAUUAAAUGUUUAGUAAGGUGAACGGCACCUAAUCUACUUCAAAAUCAUUAAGAACGCAUGGCCAGUGCCCGGUCCUCACUUAUCUAGUUAAAAACUUUUUCUUAACCUUUGGUGUUUUAUUUAAUCUAAAGGAAUGUAUUGCCUAAGGGCGCCCUCCUGUGUCUAGAAAUGUGUCUUUUUCAUUUCUUUUUCAAGCAGAAAGGGUGGUCCUCGCUUUGUAGGCCUUUUUACUCGGUCCUCACUGUGCAGCAAGUGCAGGAAUGUGUGUGUGUGUGUGUGUGUGUGUGUGUGUGUGUGUGUGUGUGUGAGAGAGAGAGUGUGUG